rnacentral:lncRNA from 1 species
AAUGAACUAAUAUCAGAGGUACGUUUAGUUUACUAGCUAGUUAGCUACAGUUACUUAGGACCAAAACUGUCAUCUUCAAAUGGGAGUUAGUUAGUUAGUUAGUAGCAAGUUGUCUCAGCUACUGUAACUACGUUGACUAGUUAGUUAACUGGAGAUAUCUAGCUAAGUAACUAGCUAGGUAGCUAAGUAAAACCACAUCAGAGCUGUUUUUAUCUAGAUGACUGACUAUAUUUAUUGUCUAUAUAGUCAUACAUAGGCUUUCCAUACAAACAGCCAGCCAGCUGACAUGUUUGGUGCUGCUUUUGUGGUUUCUAGCUAACUUGGCUGUGUUUGUAAAGUUGUGCCAACUAGUUACUAAGUUAGAGAAUGUAGCUAGUUAUCUUGCAGGCAGGGUAGCCUAGUGGUUAGAGUGUUGGACUAGUAACCGGAAGGUUGCAAGUUCAAAUCCCCGAGCUGACAAGGUACAAAUCUGUCGUUCUGCCCCUGAACAGGCAGUUAACCCCACUGUUCCUAGGCCGUCAUUGAAAAUAGGAAUUUGUUCUUAACUAACUUAACUAACUUGCCUAGUAUAAAAAAAAUGACCUCUGAGAGUUAGCUGCUCAUCUAGGCCUGUCCUGAACUCAACUCUUCCUGGGAAAACAUUCAAAGCAGAAAUUCUCUUUUGUAUUUUUUGCCACACCAGUGUUUGUUGUGAUGUUUCUGUUUGGUGGGACACACCCUGUCGCUAACUGAUGUCUGGUAGUACAUACUGAUCAGCCCUUGGACAGUAGCAUGUUAUAGGACUGUAUGUCUUUCUCAGUAUAGAUCCUGGAACGGGUUUGUUUUUCAGCUACAUACCUUCUAGCAAAUGCUUUUGUUUUCAGGGAACUCGGGGGUCUCAACUUACUGUUGCCAGGUAGAAUAGUAGAACACACAAGAUAGAACACUAUUGUUCUAUUAGUAUAGCAGAACACUAUUGUUCUAUUAGUAUAGCAGAACACACAAGAUAGAACACUAUUGUUCUAUUAGUAUAGUAGAACACUAUUGUUCUAUUAGUAUAGUAGAACACUAUUGUUCUAUUAGUAUAGUAGAACACUAUUGUUCUAUUAGUAUAGUAGAACACUAUUGUUCUAUUAGUAUAGUAGAACACUAUUGUUCUAUUAGUAUAGUAGAACACUAUUGUUCUAUUAGUAUAGUAGAACACUUGUUCUAUUAGUAUAGUAGAACACUAUUGUUCUAUUAGUAUAGUAGAACACUUGUUCUAUUAGUAUAGUAGAACACUUGUUCUAUUAGUAUAGUAGAACACUAUUGUUCUAUUAGUAUAGUAGAACACUAUUGUUCUAUUAGUAUAGUAGAACACUAUUGUUCUAUUAGUAUAGUAGAACACUUGUUCUAUUAGUAUAGUAGAACACUUGUUCUAUUAGUAUAGUAGAACACUUGUUCUAUUAGUAUAGUAGAACACUUGUUCUAUUAGCAUAGCAGAACACUAUUGUUCUAUUAGUAUAGCAGAACACUAUUGUUCUAUUAGUAUAGCAGAACACUAUUGUUCUAUUAGCAUAGUAGAACACUAUUGUUCUAUUAGCAUAGUAGAACACUAUUGUUCUAUUAGUAUAGUAGAACACUAUUGUUCUAUUAGUAUAGUA